CACCACCCGCCCAAUCUCUCAUCGGGCUGCCCCGAUGACACAGGCGGGAGAGAGAAUCCUUUCCUCCACCGACUGCAACACCGGGGAGUCGUGCUGGCGAGAGAGAGCGUCAGCCUUGCCGUUCUUGGAAUGAGGACGGCGAUCGUUUGGAGACAAGACAGAUGUAAUUUCAAGAGAAAAACGUACACCGAAGCCUGAUGGGCUGACCCAGGCCGCCGGAAACUACUGGCCAGCGAGAGAGGGCGUACUCAACUGUAGAGAAGGAGGAGCUGGCGUUGAAGUGGGCCCUGGAGAAACUCUGUUAUUAUCUCCUCGGACACCACUUUACCCUCAUCACCGACCAGGCCCCCCCGAAAUGGAUGGCGACGGCCAAGGACACCAACGCCAGGGUGACGCGCUGGAUCCUAGCCCUACAAGACUACUAAUAUAAAUGUCAUUUAUUAUUAUUAUUAUUAUUAUUAUUACCACUUCCAGGUGGUCCAUCGACCAGGACGGGCUCACGCCAAUGCAGACACCCUAUCCCAGAGGGACGCCUGCCUAGGUCUUACCAGAGGAACCCCUGGCUUGCUGCUGAGGGUGGGGGUAUGUGGCAACCCCGCGCCGGCGGACCUGGAGAAAACUCGCCAACGCUCUGAACAGCGCCCUCUCUACGGACAAGUAGUCCAAGGGAGAUACGUCCCCUUCAACACAGCUGUAACCGCCAGUGGUUACCGCCGAUAUAUUACUCAUAGACUACUGUUAGAUUUAAACAGCAAAGAUAGAGACAGUUAUUAGUCAACAACGACAUCAUUUAUUGCAGAAAUUUAAAAUUGCAAAAAUACAUGCACAGCCGAAAUGUACCGAUCAAACGCCACGUCACAAGGCAUAUAAUAAAAUCAAAUGAUUCCAUUGCUCUUGUGUGGGAGGUCGCUUUCGAGCUGCACUUGCUGUCUCCCUCUGAAUUUAAUUCAACCAUCGUGGUUAAAAUGUCCUAAUAUUGAUCAAUGACAGAAGACAUAGGCUACUGUAGACAUGAAUCAUGAGUCCAGCAGGUGUCGGAUAAUUUCUGCAGGUGUGUUUUGUUGCGAUUGUUUGCAUUAAGCACUGUAGGCGCUUCGGUGAGGCUGUGAUGAAGUUCACUAUUUAUUGGACCAUGUCUAGACAGUAACGAACAUCCCUGACCAUAGUUAAU